rnacentral:tRNA from 1 species
AGCCCUGGGGUGUGAGCACGUUAGAUUGCAAGUCUAAAGAAGCAGAAUAAUACUCUGCCGGGGCUU